rnacentral:tRNA from 1 species
GGGAAGGUGGCUCAGUGGUAGAGCACUUGCCUUGCAUGCUCGAGGCCCUGGGUUCGAUUCCUCAGC